rnacentral:rRNA from 1 species
AGUGAACGCUGGCGGUAGGCCUAACACAUGCAAGUCGAACGGCAGCACAGUAAGAGCUUGCUCUUACGGGUGGCGAGUGGCGGACGGGUGAGGAAUACAUCGGAAUCUACUUUUUCGUGGGGGAGAACGUAGGGAAACUUACGCUAAUACCGCAUACGACCUACGGGUGAAAGCAGGGGAUCUUCGGACCUUGCGCGAUUGAAUGAGCCGAUGUCGGAUUAGCUAGUUGGCGGGGUAAAGGCCCACCAAGGCGACGAUCCGUAGCUGGUCUGAGAGGAUGAUCAGCCACACUGGAUCUGAGACACGGUCCAGACUCCUACGGGAGGCAGCAGUGGGGAAUAUUGGACAAUGGGCGCAAGCCUGAUCCAGCCAUACCGCGUGGGUGAAGAAGGCCUUCGGGUUGUAAAGCCCUUUUGUUGGGAAAGAAAAGCAGCAGGUUAAUACCCCGCUGUUCUGACGGUACCCAAAGAAUAAGCACCGGCUAACUUCGUG